UACGUAGGGGGCAAGCGUUGUCCGGAAUUAUUGGGCGUAAAGGGCUCGUAGGCGGUUUGUCGCGUCGGGAGUGAAAACUCAGGGCUUAACCCUGAGCCUGCUUCCGAUACGGGCAGACUAGAGGUAUGCAGGGGAGAACGGAAUUCCUGGUGUAGCGGUGAAAUGCGCAGAUACCAGGAGGAACACCGGUGGCGAAGGCGGUUCUCUGGGAAUGUCCUGACGCUGAGGAGCGAAAGUGUGGGGAGCGAACAGG
rnacentral:rRNA from 1 species